GCACUCACUUCUGCAGUACACAUGAAAACUGAAGGAUACAGAGAAGGUCAGUAUGGCCUUGUAAAUGGAUGACACGUACCUUUGUGAAGCGGUUCACAAUUUU